UGGGGAAUAUUGCACAAUGGGGGAAACCCUGAUGCAGCGACGCCGCGUGAGCGAUGAAGGCUUUCGAGUCGUAAAGCUCUGUCCUAUGGGAAGAUAAUGACGGUACCAUAGAAGAAAGCCCCGGCUAAUUACGUGCCAGCAGCCGCGGUAAUACGUAAGGGGCGAGCGUUGUCCGGAAUUAUUGGGCGUAAAGAGUGCGUAGGCGGCAAAUUAAGUCAGAUGUGAAAACUAAGGGCUCAACCCAUAGAUUGCAUCUGAAACUGAUAUGCUUGAGUCAAGGGGAGGAAAGUGGAAUUCCUAGUGUAGCGGUGGAAUGCGUAGAUAUUAGGAGGAAUACCGGUGGCGAAGGCGACUUUCUGGACUUGAACUGACGCUGAGGCACGAAAGCGUGGGGAGCAAACAGG
rnacentral:rRNA from 1 species